CGGAACACGUACAGAACCUUCCUUUAAGCGGGGGAUAGCCCAUAGAAAUGUGGAUUAAUACCCCAUAGUAAUAUUGACUGGCAUCAGUUGAUAUUUAAAGAUUUAUCACUUAAAGAUGGCUGUGCGGCUGAUUAGGUAGUUGGUGCGGGUAACGGCCCACCAAGCCAGCGAUCAGUAACUGGUGUGAGAGCACGACCAGUCACACGGGCACUGAGACACGGGCCCG
rnacentral:rRNA from 1 species